CCACGAAUCAGUAUUGUAAUUGAGGAAAUUCGAAGUAUGAACAUUUUCUAAAAAUCUAUUGAGUCCUAAUUUAUCUGGGUCAAAAAGCUGUAAAAUUGCACCUUCCGCCCCCAUUUCCAAAAAUAGUUUUGUUUCAAUGUUUUAAUUACAUUUUCAUCUUUAGUGUACAGUAGUGGAAAUGACGCACAGGACUUUCAUUAUUUUCUUCACAAGAACCACAGAGACUGUACUGUGGCCAGUGAGUGUCUCCCACCUGAGAACGCCAAGAUUAAAACAGCCCGUACAUAACAGUACAUAACACGGGGCCCUGUGGUUCUCAGCACCCCUGCCCAGCUCAUUGCUCCUGUGGUGGUGGCCAAAGGAACCCUCUCCAUCACUACUACAGAAAUCUACUUCGAGGUAGAUGAGGAUGACGCUGCCUUCAAGAAGAUCGACACAAAAGAAGAGAUUGUUUGCACUGUUUCUGGAAAUAGUACCUAGGAAUCGACUAAUCGACUAGGAAGUUCUUUUUUUUC
rnacentral:lncRNA from 1 species